GAUGAACGCUGGCAGUAUGCUUAACACAUGCAAGUCGAACGGUCACUUCGGUGAUAGUGGCGGACGGGUGAGUAACGCGUGAGAAUCUGUCUUCAGGUCGGGGACAACAGUUAGAAAUGACUGCUAAUACCGGAUGUGCCUUAUGGUGAAAGAUUUAUUGCCUGAAAAAGAGCUCGCGUCAGAUUAGCUAGUAGGUGGUGUAAGAGACUACCUAGGCGACGAUCUGUAGCUGGUCUGAGAGGACGAUCAGCCGCACUGGAACUGAGACACGGUCCAGACUCCUACGGGAGGCAGCAGUGGGGAAUUUUCCGCAAUGGGCGAAAGCCUGACGGAGCAAUACCGCGUGAGGGACGAAGGCUUUUGGGUCGUAAACCUCUUUUAUUAGGGAAGAUUUCAGGACGGUACCUAAUGAAUAAGCAUCGGCUAACUCUGUGCCAGCAGCCGCGGUAAU
rnacentral:rRNA from 1 species